CAGUCGCCACGGGAAUACGUAGGGUGCAAGCGUUAAUCGGAAUUACUGGGCGUAAAGCGUGCGCAGGCGGUCUGUUAAGACAGAUGUGAAAUCCCCGGGCUCAACCUGGAAACUGCAUUUGUGACUGGCAAGCUAGGGUGUGGCAGAGGGGGGUGGAAUUCCGCGUGUAGCAGUGAAAUGCGUAGAGAUGUGGAGGAACACCGAUGGCGAAGGCAGCCCCCUGGGCCAAUACUGACGCUCAUGCACGAAAGCGUGGGGAGCAAACAGGAUUAGAUACCCGAGUAGUCCCUGUCUCUUAUAC
rnacentral:rRNA from 1 species